GACGAACGCUGGCGGCGUGCCUAAUACAUGCAAGUCGAACGCAGUGGGGACGGGUGAGUAACACGUGGCUAACCUCCCAUCAGAGGGGAUAACCCUUGGAAAAAGGUGCUAAACCGAUACUGAUGGAUGGACCCGCGGUGCAUUAGCUAGUUGGUGAGGUAACGGCUCACCAAGGCCACGAUCCAUAGCCGGCCUGAGAGGAUGAUCGGCCACACUGGGACUGAGACACGGCCCAGACUCCUACGGGAGGCAGCAGUGGGGAAUAUUCGGCAAUGGACGAAAGUCUGACCGAGCAACGCCGCGUGAGUGAAGAAGGUUUUCGGAUCGUAAAACUCUGUUGUUAGAGAAGCGGUAUCUAACCAGAAAGCAACGGCUAACUACGUGCCAGCAGCCGCGGUAAUAC
rnacentral:rRNA from 1 species